UUUUAAGUAUAAAUAUGUUCCAUGCAAUAUUAGGGACAUACUUAUACUUUAA
rnacentral:pre_miRNA from 1 species